rnacentral:lncRNA from 10 species
UUUUUUGGGAUGUAUGCUGUAGUUAAGUCAAUGUCUCUAAAAAAAAGUUGUUAUUGUACAAAGCUUCCAAAACACCGGAAUGGUUAACAAACAUUAAAAAAUCUCAUAACAUUUUUUAGAAGAGUUACAUCAAGUUUGUAAGUUAAAAUUUCUCACAUUUGGCUAUAAUUUAAGCCAGAAGAAAACAAUGCUUUAAUAUUAAGAGGUAAAUAUUUAAAACUAUGUACUGAAUUUUCUGUUUUGCUUUAACAGAAAAUUCCAAUCAGGUUAUUUGAAAUACAAGAUUCUUUCAACAGUACAAGACUGUGUUUAUAAUAGCUAAGAACAGCUCUUCUCCCAAACAUCUCUGAGUGAAUAAGUGAGAUGUGUCCCUAGAAAGAGAGGCUGAUUGGUUGGUUUAGGAAAACCCUUCCUGGUUUCCUUCUUUCUCAUAACUUCCCAUCUCACAUUUCUUCCGUACAUGGCCAUAAGUCUGCCCAAGGUAAGAAGAGAUAAACAAAGAAAAGUUAAACAUCUCUUCUGGAGGACUGAAAUAUUUCCAUUUACUCUUUUUGCUGAUGGCACAUUCAGCAUUAAACAUUUCAAAAGUGAUAAAUUUUAAAUACUCACAUUUUUAAGCAAACCAGGAUAGUAAUCUAUAGGUGCAUACCCAA